AUGGGGGCAGCCAUUUUUAAAUUAAUAAAAUAGAAAGAAACAUGCUAAAAACUUACUCAUCGCCUAAUUGACAUUCCAAACGGUUGACGAUGACAAAUGCAUUGGAUUGUAAUCUUUCCGUUGAUGUUUGCAAACUGCACGAUCAGACCUCAUACACACUCAAAAGAAUAACUAUGUAAGAAGCAUUUCACCAAUGUUUACACUCGUUGUCGAAUCACACGACAUAUAUUUUUGCGCAUAAAAUAGUACGCUUACAGACUGAUAGAAAGAUCGAUACGUAACUCUGUUCAAUUCAUCACGGUAUACUAUUCUAUCGAUAAUAUAUAAUAAUACAUCGCUUUAACAAUCUAAAAGUAGAAAUAAUUCUUUUAAACGGAGUUUUUAAUAACGAAAGUGAAAACAACGGAAGUUGGAUGGAUAUUCUGUGAGAUGCACUUCGGCUCAAGAAAAACAAUACAAAUAAACUAAAAAAGACGUGUGAGGGACAAUUUUCAGCUGGAAAAUAUAUGUAAUAAGACAAAAUGGAGGGCUGAGCCUUUCGCAGAGUUGUAUGUGAGAGCCAGGAACGACAACUCUGCGUGGAGAUUGCAUUUAUGCUUGGAAAGUCGUUGAAGGCUGGAGAAGGGAAGUAACUGCGCGUGGACCAGCUUAUGGAUAUGAAAAACACAUAACAGGGCUUUAACGGCACGUGAAUCGCAUUGUAAAGUAACGAUUUCUCCCGUUCAAGCCCUCCUUUUGCCAAGUUUCUUCACCCCGCCAGAGGGCAUUAUAGAUAGAGUUUAUGCAAUAAUACGAGUUAAAUAAUAUAGAGUAACAAAGCAAGAAGAAAUUUAAAACAAACGUUCUAUCUUACAUUUUUGGGAGUUAUUUUAUUAUAUGCUCUAUUUCCACGGAUGAGCUGUCAUUUUCAAAGAAGCCAAGUGGAAUACACAUUAAUAACAGCUAUUGUAAUUGUUGAAGGCACUUUCAAGAAGAUAUAAGUAACACACCUGUACUGUUUUGGAGUGCGGGUAUACAACCUGUUUGGGUAUUGUGUUAUGCAUAUGUGACGUUGUGAUGUAGCUACAGAUAUAAAGAGUCCACAACUAUUGAAGUGAUCGGCGUAUAUCGCCAUAUCGCCAUGUGCAAGCCUAUUGAAUUUAAAUAUAUGAUAUUUGUGUUUUUGGUCGAUUCACAAGUACAAAUGAUUUAGUUAUUAUGUGAAUUCUAACAUUUUCUUUUCGCCAGCGAAAUUGAGUUGAAGCAUAGCCACACAUUCUAAAACCCAUACACGCUGUUUUUUGCUUUGUAGUGUCUCCGUAAUUGAUACUGUCUGUUGAAUUAUUACUAUAGCAUUGUGAACAUCAAAGAUCUUACAGUUGAAUUAAUGCAAUAUAUGGCACUGUGUAAUAAAGUUACAUUUAUACUGCACAUAAUAUUAAACAUGAAACUUAAAUGCAAUAAAACAA